ACCCGUGCGCUAUGGCGCGCCCUACAAGAGGAGUUUCUCGCCGUCCCAUCUGGUGCUGCCGAGUGGAAGGAGAUUUCCAAAAAGUUUUGGAGGCUGUGGAACUUUCCCAACUGUGUCGGUGCCAUCGACGGGAAGCACGUUACCAUCAAGGCGCCACCAUCUGCGGGGAGCGACUAUUUUAAUUACAAGGGGACUCAUUCAAUUGUCCUGAUGGCUGCAUGUGAUGCACAGUACCGGUUCACGAUGGUGGAUGUAGGUGCGUACGCCCGACAGAGCGACGGAGGGGUCUUCCAGGAGAGCGCUUUUGGAAAGAGCAUCCUCCAGGGGAAGAUGGGGCUACCUGCCGCUACUGACCUGCCUGGGACGAAAACCCCGACUCCGUCCGUGUUUGUUGGGGAUGCAGCCUUUCCCCUGCACGUCAACCUGCUGCGUCCUUAGACAGGCCCCACCUUCAGUGAAGAGAAGAAGGUCUACAACUACCGGCAUUCUCGUGCCAGGAGAGUCAUCGAGAACACCUUUGGCAUUAUGGCUGCACGGUGGAGGAUUCUGGGGCGUCCUCUGGAAUUCCACCCCAGUAAGGCAGUAGAUGUGGUGAAGGCAUGUGUUUGUCUGCACAACUACCUGGCACACACAGGUGCAGCCAAUCCUAUGGUUGCCAGGUACAUUCCACCAUCAUUUGCUGACUCCGUCACAGCCACUGAUGACGUCCACCCUGGAGAGUGGAGGCGGAUUGUCGCAGGGGACAACACCAUGACAGGGCUGGUGCGACAGGCCAACGCCAGGGCCACAAGAGCAGCAUUAGCCGUCAGGAGUGACAUGACACAGUUUUUCAUGUCACCACAGGGGGAGCUCCCCUGGCAGUUGAAUGUGGUCCGAAGAGGUGAACUUAAUUAGACAAUACAUGUGCUGAUUGAUGUACGAUUGUAUGUGUCAAAAUCAACUAACAAAAUGGAAUAACUUAAAUCAAUUGUAAUCUGUGCAUAUUGUAAUCUGAGAAUCACUUCUUAUUGAAAUUGCUGUAUAUAAUAUUGUUUAAAAUACACUUCUUGUGAAAACAAUCAGCAAUUUUUGAGUUUAGGAUUUAAUGAUCCACCGCAAAAUAAGCAGAGAGAAAUAGAUAUAAUAAACAUAUUUAUUGACUUGUGAUUACAUGAAUAAAAUAAAAAGAUUCCAAAUUACUGCUAUUAUUCUAAAAA